rnacentral:lncRNA from 1 species
UCUCUCUCUCUUUUCAAUAACUUUCCUUUUGCAUAGCCACAUGCAUCCUUUGACUACAAUAUGGUAUUUGGAGAGAUAGCAAUAAGUACUUAGAGCAAUUAAACAAAGGUUGUCCUAUGGGUUCAGUUUAUGUUGGUGUUUACUCCCAGUGUAGGAGAAUAAUGCAUAUGUGAACUGGAGUGUGUACGUGAUCUUAGUUUUAAAAGCAUGACAAGACUGUUGUAAGGUAUACUACAAAGGUUGACUAAACUCAAUGCAAAGCAAGCAACAUAAAUCUGCAAAAGUUUUACUAACUCUAGAUGUAUAUUAUAUAUGGCUUUGGUAGGAAUCCAAACUUGUCAUAC